UGGCUCCCUCCCACAUUCUACGAAGAGUAACAGAAAGCCAACGGACGAAAGCCAUCGUUAGACGACCAUCUUGCCCUUCCCAGCUCCUCCAUUACAUGAUACACCCUGGCAUCUUUCAGCACGGUGUGGGAGGCUUCAAUCUACAGGGUCAAAAAUGUGAGCCACACUACUACACAUGCCAUACAUGCG